GGAGAAAAUUGAUUUUGUACAUGCCCAACCUCUGUCUUAACUGAUACAAAGAUUUCAAAGGAACAAUGUUCAAUUUUAAGUGGCAAUUCAUAAGUGACCCAUCGUGUCAAGCUGGAGAGCAGGAGGGACACCCAGCUUUUUAAAGCGAGCUUAUCAAUCACUGUAUCCCGAAUAAGCAUCUUCAUCCCAGCUACAGAAAAUAGAAGGCUGUAGAAAAGAACAGGAGGCUAGCCAUGCUUUCAACCUUAUUUUAAAGUAAUUAUAUGAAAAAAGUCUGUGUUUAUAAACUAAUAAAUUAUACACUUUUAAAAUGU
ensembl:processed_transcript BB218582 expressed sequence BB218582